rnacentral:rRNA from 1 species
AGUGAACGCUGGCGGUAGGCCUAACACAUGCAAGUCGAACGGCAGCACAGUAAGAGCUUGCCCUUACGGGUGGCGAGUGGCGGACGGGUGAGGUAUACAUCGGAAUCUACUUUUUCGUGGGUGAUAACGUAGGGAAACUUACGCUACUACCGCAUACGACCUACGGGGGAAAGCAGUGGAUCUUUGGACCUUGCGCGAUUUAAUUAGCCGAUGUCGGAUCAGCUAGUUGGCGAGGUAAAGGCCCACCAAUGCGACGAUCCGUAGCUGCUCUGAGAGGAUCAUCAGCCCCACUGGAACUGAGACACGGUCCAGACUCCUACGGGAGGCCGCAGUGGGGUAUAUUGGACAAUGGGCGCAAGCCUGAUCCAGCCAUACCGCGUGGGUGAAGAAGGCCUUCGGGUUGUAAAGCCCUUUUGUUGGGAAAGAAAAGCAGCAGGUUAAUACCCCGCUGUUCUGACGGUACCCAAAGAAUAAGCACCGGCUAACUUCGUG